CUUUGAUGCUGCUGAUGAUCUCGAGGAAGGACGGACGCAUCUUGGGAUUAUACUGCCAGCACAUCCUCAUCAGCUCAAACCUGCAAGUGACGCGAGGUAAAAAGGAUACAUUUGGAAGACACCAAGGUAAUUUGACUUUGACUUGCUGAAGCCUCAUAAGUUUUGACAAAAAGAGAACUAUGGAUUUUGUGUAAUUGUGCCACUUCAGAGCCAGGAGAACAUGAGGAAUGAUUACAGCAGCGGACAACUCUUUCAAUGUACACACGGGCAUGUGAGUAUUGUGUACUUGAAAAGAUGUGAACCUAUCCUUUAAAACUUUAGAGUGGGAAGACUUUGCGUUUCUCACCAGCAGGUGGCAGGAGACACCAAAGUUAAAGCCAAUGUUAAUACUCGCUGGCACGAAGUUUCACUAUACUGAUCUUGGAAAAAAAAAAACUAUGUAUACAGUACAUUAAUAUAGUACUGUAAACUAUCCCAAUAUACUGUACUAAGAUGCUCUGAUUACUGUUUUUCUGUUGUCUUUUUGGAAAUUCAUUCUGUGCCUUUCAUAACAUUAAAAUGGACACAAAAUAAAAGUGUUACAUUCACA